rnacentral:rRNA from 1 species
AACGAACGCUGGCGGCAUGCCUAACACAUGCAAGUCGAACGAGACCUUCGGGUCUAGUGGCGCACGGGUGCGUAACGCGUGGGAACCUGCCCUUAGGUUCGGAAUAACUCCCCGAAAGGGGUGCUAAUACCGGAUAAUGUCUUCGGACCAAAGAUUUAUCGCCUUUGGAUGGGCCCGCGUUGGAUUAGCUAGUUGGUAGGGUAAAAGCCUACCAAGGCGACGAUCCAUAGCUGGUCUGAGAGGAUGAUCAGCCACACUGGGACUGAGACACGGCCCAGACUCCUACGGGAGGCAGCAGUGGGGAAUAUUGGACAAUGGGCGAAAGCCUGAUCCAGCAAUGCCGCGUGAGUGAUGAAGGCCUUAGGGUUGUAAAGCUCUUUUACCCGGGAUGAUAAUGACAGUACCGGCAGAAUAAGCUCCGGCUAACUCCGUG